CGGCGCAACUCCGCCCUCCUCCCCCCACGCGCCCGGUUUCCUAAUGCAAAUCUCCCCGCCUCAGCCAAGCGCUCCGUGGGCCUGGGUGCGUGGUUGCCGACCGCGGAAAAGGGGAAUCCGGAAAAGGGGAUCCCGGAUGUUUUCAAAUUUCUCAAGAUGAGAUGCAUCUCGGAACACACUUUGGAAUUUUGGAGCACUCUGUACACCAGUUUCCUUCGCCUCCUCUCUGCCCUCCAAGUCAAACACAGAAUCUAGGAAUUUUAUUUCUAUUUUACAGGAAACAGAUCUUUCUAACUUUGGAAGAUUGCCACAGAGUACUGCUAGUGUUGUCACUAACAUGCUACUGAACAGCAUACUGAAAGCCACUCUAACGCAGGCGCCUAGAGCUGGAGACAGUGGAGUGCUGAGGAGGAGAGUGGCUCUGUUGAGGGCAGGGGAGAACAAGGAGCCAUUUGAGUCAAGAGGCCCAGGAGUUUCUGGAAACUCACAAGGAAUCUGGCAGCACAGUUCCCAAGAAGUCUGACCCAGGAGGAUCAGAAAAACUCUGUGGUUCUCAGAGGCAAAUCCCCAACCCUGGGAGUCCAGAAGCUGCAGGCUCUUUCCAGAAGGGAGAAGUUCCUGCCAAGGCCCUUCCAGACUAAGCCUGUAGCAUUCCUGAUGCUGCGUGAAUACAGAACUCCAGUGGAUCCAGCAUGGGACUCAAAGCAAGCACAAGGCAAGCAUUUUAUUGAAGCUGUUGGCUUCUGCAGAGUGUUAGGAGAAUGUGCAUGUAUCAAGAAGUGAAAGAGGGGCACCUGAGUGGCUUAGUCGGUUAAGCGUCCGACUCGUGUUCAGGUCAUGAUCUCAUGGUUCGUGGGUUUGAGCCCUGCAUUGGGCUCUGUGCUGACAGCUCAGAGCCUGGAGCCUGCUUCAAUUCUGUGUCUCGCUCUCUCUCUGUCCCUCCCCAGCUCACACUCUGUCUCUCUCUCUCAAUAAUAAAUAAACAUUGAAAAAAAAAGUGAAAGAAAAAAACAGGUGAGUCAGUUUUUUGCAACAUAUCCAGGGUGGUAGUAAGAACAAAAGCAUAUACACAUGCAAGUACAAGCUACAAAACACAAAUUGUAUAAUUUUGGUUAUCCUGCAUACAAGUUAAAUGUUCUCAUAUAAUUUGGGGGCACUUGGGUGGCUCAGCCAGUUAAGCAUCCGACUCUUGAUUUCAGGUCAGGUCAUGAUCUCACGGUUCAUGAGUUCAAGUCCCACUUUGGGCUCUGCACUGACAGCACAGAGCAUGCUUGGGAUUCUCUCUCUCCCUCUCUC